GAGCUGACAAUUAUAGUUAGGAUUUUAACUUUUUAAGGCACCAGAGGGAGGUAACCUAUGUCAUAUAGAAAAUGGUGAUCAGGUGGUAACUAUAACUUGAGCUCAAGCUGGUUUGAAGAUUGACCUCCCA